GGGGUUGUGGCUCAGUGGUAGAGUGCUUGCCUGGCAUGUAUGAGGCACUGUUUGAUCCUCAGCACCC
rnacentral:tRNA from 1 species